GUCUUUUUGUUUUAUAUAUUAAGUCUAACCUGCCCACUGAAAAUUUUAAAUGGCCGCAGUAUUUUGACUGUGCAAAGGUAGCAUAAUCAUUAGUUUUUUAAUUAGAAGCUUGUAUGAAAGGUUGAACGAAGUAAAAUCUGUCUCUAUUUAAUUUAAAUUAGAAUUUAAUUUUUAAGUUAAAAAGCUUAAAUUUUUAUAAAAGACGAGAAGACCCUAUAGAGCUUUAUAAUUAAUUUAAUUUUAUUAAUUAAGAUUCAUUGAGGUUUUAUUAAAUUAAUUAUUUUAUUGGGGUAAUAUAAAGAUUAAAUUAAUUCUUUUUAAUUGUUAACAUUUAUUUAUGAUUUAAUGAUCCAUUAUUAUUGAUUAAAAGAUUAAGUUACCUUAGGGAUAACAGCGUAAUUUUUUUGGAGAGUUCAUAUCAAUAAAAAAGUUUGCGACCUCGAUGUUGGAUUAAAGAUUAAUUUAGGUGUAGAAGUUUAAAUUUUUGGUCUGUUCGACCAUUGAAUCUUUACAUGAUCUGAGUUCAGACCGGUGUAAGCCAGGUCGGUUUCUAUCUUUAUUUAGUUAAAAUAUUUUAGUACGAAAGGACCAAAUAUUAAAUAUAUUUAUAUUUUAAUUUUUGAAUAUUAUUAUUAUUUUGGCAGAUAAGUGUAAUGAAUUUAGAAUUCAUAUAUGUAAUUAAAUUACAAAUAAUACUUGUUUUAUAUAGAUUUAUUAUUUUCUUUAAUUUGUAUAAUUUUAUUAAUUAUUUGUGUAUUAGUUGGGGUUGCCUUUUUAACUUUAUUAGAACGAAAAGUUUU
rnacentral:rRNA from 1 species